rnacentral:misc_RNA from 1 species
UCCUGGUUUCCCAGGCAGUCCCGCUAGAGUGCCUUCUCACGAAGUAGCAACUAGCAGCAAGGGUUGCGCUCGUUAUAGGACUUAACCCAACAUCUCACGACACGAGCUGACGACGGCCAUGCAACACCUGUGAAAUUGUCCAAAGUAAACUUUGGAAGGUUCCAUUUCGGGAACUGUCAAAAACAUGUCAAGCCUAGGUAAGGUUCCUCGCGUAUUGUCGAAUUAAACCACAUGUUCCACCGCUUGUGCGGACCCCCGUCAAUUCCUUUGAGUUUUAAUCUUGCGACCGUACUCCCCAGGCGGAUCACUUAACGCGUUAGCUACGACACUGAAUCUGCUAAGCAGACCCAACGUCUAGUGAUCAUCGUUUACGGCGUGGACUAC